UUAAGUCAGAUGUGAAAGCCCGGGGCUCAACCUCGGAAUUGCAUUUGAAACUGGCAGACUAGAGUACUGUAGAGGGGGGUAGAAUUUCAGGUGUAGCGGUGAAAUGCGUAGAGAUCUGAAGGAAUACCGGUGGCGAAGGCGGCCCCCUGGACAGAUACUGACACUCAGAUGCGAAAGCGUGGGGAGCAAACAGGAUUAGAUACCCUGGUAGUCCACGCCGUAAACGAUGUCUACUUGGAGGUUGUGGCCUUGAGCCGUGGCUUUCGGAGCUAACGCGUUAAGUAGACCGCCUGGGGAGUACGGUCGCAAGAUUAAAACUCAAAUGAAUUGACGGGGGCCCGCACAAGCGGUGGAGCAUGUGGUUUAAUUCGAUGCAACGCGAAGAACCUUACCUACUCUUGACAUCCAGAGAACUUUCCAGAGAUGGAUUGGUGCCUUCGGGAACUCUG
rnacentral:rRNA from 1 species